AUUGAACGCUGGCGGCAGGCCUAACACAUGCAAGUCGAGCGCGCGGCGGACGGGUGAGUAAUGUCUGGGACACUGCCUGAUGGAGGGGUAUAACUACUGGACACGGUAGCUAAUACCGCAUACCAUCAGAUGUGCCCAGAUGGGAUUAGCUAGUAGGUGGGGUAACGGCUCACCUAGGCGACGAUCCCUAGCUGGUCUGAGAGGAUGACCAGCCACACGGGAACUGAGACACGGUCCAGACUCCUACGGGAGGCAGCAGUGGGGAAGAUUGCACAAUGGGCGCAAGCCUGAUGCAGCCAUGCCGCGUGUAUGAAGAAGGCCUUCGGGUUGUAAAGUACUUUCAGCGAGGAGGCGUUACUCGCAGAAGAAGCACCGGCUAACUCCGUGCCAGCAGCCGCGGUAAUUC
rnacentral:rRNA from 1 species